ACUUCAUCGACUUAACUAAAGUUUACUAUGAUGAUACCAAUGAGAAAUUCAGUGUCUGUGUCAUUAAAAACACAAAUAUUCUGAAAGAGAAUAUUGAUAAUAGUCUAAGAAAUAAAAGAUCCAUGUCUUUUUUUAUUCAAAUUAAAGAGGCAUAAGUACCCUACAUCUAACGGAUUAAAAUUUUGCAGCCGUAUAUAAUGUGCUAGACAUACGUGAAAGAAGAACUUAUUAAAUGUUGGGCGAAUAAUCACCUGUAUAUCGGCUGUCUAUAAUAAAUCGCUUUCCAUCCAAAUAUGAACACAAUAGUGAAACGUGAAUGUCACUUAUUAUUGCUGGAAUGCUUAGCUGAAUUUUGUGAGUUGAUGUUGUCUCAUGAACAAAUACACGUGCGGGUAAAAUAAUCAAGAAAGAAGGUAAAAUAGCACGGUUUUCGCAGCGAAUUCGCUUGCUGCUGCUGGGCGAUAUGUGUUGUAUUCUUUAAAUACAUGGAUGUUUCUUUUAUUUGUUCCUUUUAAUCCAAUGAUUCAUUUACACAUGGUUUCUGAAGAUAUUUAAUUGAACACAGUUAUAGGGUAUGCACCUUUAACAUUUAACUGUUUGAAAGAUAUAAACAUUACUUUACGCUAAAAGUUUAAAGAUCUAUUUUAAACUGCCAGUGUGUCAUAGAUUCUCUUUCGAUUUUCUAAAAAUAUACACCAUUAGAAAGCUUUUCAAAGAUGUAUAAUUUAAUGUAUUUUCUUUUUUAUGUGUAUUGGAACGAUUGUUAAACUUGACUAGGAAAUUUUACAUGGAAAUCAUGUAGAGAGAUAAGCGGUCGGUAUACUCGGAAAUAAUCACUUAAAGUAGUGCGGAAAUAGAACGGCGGAUUAAUCUGCUUCAGUGUCUUUUGUUUAGUGUACGUAUUCUACUUUACUUAUGAUAAUUAGGGUUAUUACUCAGAAAUCAUCAAUUUCAUUUUAGAGACAGAUGUUCGUCUUGAUUAGAUAUUAAUUGUAAGGAGGUUAAAUUAAUAAAUAAGAACAUAAAAAAUUAAAUAUAGAUUACACAAGAAUAACAUUCCAGCUCUAGCGAAUACGGUGGAAGCUGCUGACGAUUACCGAAUGUGUCCUUAAUAUCAAUAAUGACUUCAUAAUCACACUCUCUCAUGAGGAAGCCAAUGCAUGACAAGCAAAAUUCUGCCAAAAAAAAAACAACAACACAAAACAACAAAAAAAAAAACCGGACAAAAACAACCUUUAUCGAUUUAAUCGCUGAAACGAGGAGGAAAGGUGCCAAGAAGAGAACAGCAAAUGACAAACUUCUCAGAGUAAACGACCGAAGACGGAUGAGGACGUGUGGACGGAAAAUUCAGAGUUUGAACAUUUCAGAUUGUCGGAUACACAAGAUCCAGUAUAUCCAGGUUGCAUGAAUGCUGAACUUGCACCGCACCUCAGUAAUACGGCUGUUGUAUAAAUACAGAGCGACAGCCAGAGGACGUGUUAAUACCAGAAACCAGGUCAAAACAUUCUGAAUAUACACUUUCAAGACAGGCGGCGUCUAGCUAUUGAUACAUCAAGGGUAAUACUUGGAACGCAUGGUCGCCAUAUCAGCGCUCCGACUGUGCACAGAAGGUUGAGAGAAAAUGACGCCAAUUUCAUGGGAUAAUCUUAAAUGAUCAGCACAAACGAACCCGUUUACAUUGGGCUCGUCGGGGAAUGGUAGGCCAUUGGGCUCGUCGUCACAUACGGAUUCCUCAAUUUUUGAUAUUCGAUACAAUGCUUGUAAAAUAAUAAUAAUAAUAAAAUAAUGACACUCA